rnacentral:rRNA from 1 species
GACGAACGCUGGCGGCGUGCUUAACACAUGCAAGUCGAACGGUGAUCUUGAGAGCUUGCUCUUGGGUGAUCAGUGGCGAACGGGUGAGUAACACGUGAGUAACCUGCCCCUGACUCUAGAAUAACUUCGGGAAACCGAAGCUAAUACCGGAUACGACACAGAGCCGCAUGGUUUCUGUGUGGAAAGUUUUUCGGUUGGGGAUGGACUCGCGGCCUAUCAGCUUGUUGGUGAGGUAAUGGCUCACCAAGGCGACGACGGGUAGCCGGCCUGAGAGGGCGACCGGCCACACUGGGACUGAGACACGGCCCAGACUCCUACGGGAGGCAGCAGUGGGGAAUAUUGCACAAUGGGCGAAAGCCUGAUGCAGCGACGCCGCGUGAGGGAUGAAGGCCUUCGGGUUGUAAACCUCUUUCAGUAGGGAAGAAGCGCAAGUGACGGUACCUACAGAAGAAGCACCGGCUAACUACGUGCCAGCAGCCGCCGUAA